rnacentral:rRNA from 1 species
AUUGAACGCUGGCGGCAUGCCUUACACAUGCAAGUCGAACGGUAACAGGUUAAGCUGACGAGUGGCGAACGGGUGAGUAAUAUAUCGGAACGUGCCCAGUCGUGGGGGAUAACGUAGCGAAAGCUACGCUAAUACCGCAUACGAUCUACGGAUGAAAGCGGGGGAUCGCAAGACCUCGCGCGAUUGGAGCGGCCGAUAUCAGAUUAGCUAGUUGGUGAGGUAAAGGCUCACCAAGGCGACGAUCUGUAGCUGGUCUGAGAGGACGACCAGCCACACUGGAACUGAGACACGGUCCAGACUCCUACGGGAGGCAGCAGUGGGGAAUUUUGGACAAUGGGCGCAAGCCUGAUCCAGCAAUGCCGCGUGCAGGACGAAGGCCUUCGGGUUGUAAACUGCUUUUGUACGGAGCGAAACGGUCUUCUCUAAUACAGGGGGCUAAUGACGGUACCGUAAGAAUAAGCACCGGCUAACUACGUG